ACGCUCGACACCUACGGGAGGCAGCAGUGGGGAAUAUUGCACAAUGGGGGAAACCCUGAUGCAGCGACGCCGCGUGGAGGAAGAAGGUCUUCGGAUUGUAAAACUCCUGUUGUUGGGGAAAAAGAGGAUGGUACCCAACAAGGAAGUGACGGCUAACUACGUGCAAGCAGCCGCGGUAAUCUGAGCGGGCUGGCAAGGC
rnacentral:rRNA from 1 species